GCCGGCAGCUAGCUCUCUGCAACUCUCACAUGGUCGCCCACUGAAGCUAAGCAGGGCUGAGCCUGGUCAGUACCUGGAUGGGAGACCACAUGGGAAAGCUAGGUUGCUGCUGGAA
rnacentral:rRNA from 1 species